GUAGAUUAAACGUGAUCCGUUAAUCCUGUGGCUACAGGGUAGCGUAUAGACCAAAACACAAAUCUAUCCAUGCAAGCAUUUUACCGUCAGUGUGAACUGGCGGUUUUUUUUUGCCUGCAUUACGACAAAAAAGAAGGCCCCUCGCGGCGUAUCGGCGCGAGGGGCCUGUUUAGUGGGGGAUUAUCUCCGUUCAUUAGUC
rnacentral:sRNA from 1 species